rnacentral:rRNA from 1 species
UAGGGAAUCUUCCACAAUGGGCGCAAGCCUGAUGGAGCAACGCCGCGUGAGUGAAGAAGGGUUUCGGCUCGUAAAACUCUGUUGUUAAAGAAGAACAUAUCUGAGAGUAACUGUUCAGGUAUUGACGGUAUUUAACCAGAAAGCCACGGCUAACUACGUGUCAG